rnacentral:rRNA from 1 species
UACGAAGGGGGGCUAGCGUUGCUCGGAAUCACUGGGCGUAAAGGGUGCGUAGGCGGGUCUUUUAAGUCAGGGGUGAAAUCCUGGAGCUCAACUCCAGAACUGCCUUUUGAUACUGAAGGUCUUGAGUCCGGGGGAGGUGAGUGGAACUGCGAGUGUAGAGGUGAAAUUCGUAGAUAUUCGCAAGAACACCAGUGGCGAAGGCGGCUCACUGGCCCGAUACUGACGCUGAGGCACGAAAGCGUGGGGAGCAAAC